rnacentral:rRNA from 1 species
AUGGAGUCCAUGCUCUUGAGGGCCUCCCGUGACUUUGCUCGCGCCGCCAGCAAGAUCGCGUCGGCUGGUCGGUGGGCAGCGCCGGUGACAGCGGCUCGAUCAGCCCCCUCAGAUCUGAGGAGCCGCCUCUCCUUCCACAGCGGCACCGGUGGUAACACACCCAUCUCCACCGACGCACCACCGGACGAAAUGUCGUCGCCCGCUUCCUUCACCCCCCUCCCAGGUAAGGUGAAAAUUCUGCCUUCAGACGAGGACGUUGAGUCAGAGGAAGCCCUGUGGGCCUUGUAUCUGCGCUGGUGCAACACUUUGAACCAGAAGCGUGACCAUGAUGAGAUGGUUCGCCGGUUUGAUGUAUUCAAGGACACUGUUCGGAUGGUCCACCGUGUCAACAAGGCUAAAUUGCCUUACACUCUGAAAGUAAGUGAAUUCGCUGAUGGGAAGCUACAAGAGUCCAUGAGUCCAAAAGUGUUUGAUGAAUUCGCAACUCAUGCAAAGGGUGGUGGAUCUCGCCCUUUGGCAAAUCGUCGGAAGGAAGGGGAUCUCAUCAUUGAAACUGGUGAAGAUGUGCCAGAAUAUCCCCAAAUGUACUUCAAGUUCUCUGAAUCUGGAGAUUCCAUCAUCCCCUUGGAAUGA